AGAUUUAAUAUUUUAUUCCAGUUUAAUGAAUUUUCAAAGGUUUAUAUUUAAACCCCGGGUUAUUGUGUUAUUGAUAAAUAAUUGUAUUUUCAAAACGGAUUUUCAUAUAUUAUUUUGAAAAUUCUGUAUGAAUAUUAUGCGAAUAUAUGUGUUAUGUGAUUAGGUGGUAUUGGUGGAUUUGUUGAUUAAUUAACUAUGGUUAAUUAUGAGUAUUAUAUGAUUAGUAUAUGAAUUUUUGUGAAUUUUAUAUUAUCUGGUUUAUUGCGUUAACUGCUCAUAUGUGUUCGUAUUUGAGAGAUUUCAAUUUCUAUAUGCUCAGGAGAAAAUAUAGUUUAUUUGGAUAUUUUCAUAUCGAUUUAUGGAAUGUUAGAUGAUUUUAUAAUUGAUUUACAGAUUUAAUUGUGCAUAUUUAUAUUUAAUUAUUAAUUAUUUGACUUCCGUAAAACCGUCCACUCGUAACGAGGUGGCAAAUUUUCUUCCCGGAAGUUUCGAGAAAACUCACCUUUAGCCUAAUUUGAAUAUUCCGGACAUUUUUCGUGUUUUGACUUUUUCGAUCCGGAGUACGGUUUUCCCUGGAGUCGGUCCGGCGGAGUUUUUCGGGUACUAAAAUUGUCGAUAAUUAUCCAGUUUGUCUCGAUAAACGUGAACCGAGAUAUUUUCUUCAUCCUUAUCUUGUAAUAAUUGCAAUGGGACCCGCAGACCAAUAAUUGAGUUAAAAAGCCCCGUUUUGAUGAUUAUCUUGAAAACUAGUACCGAUUGGACCCCACUUUCUUAAUAUAAAGCUAUUAAAUACGUAUUUUCAUGCCAUAAACGAUCCAAAGGGGUACCAAUUAUUUGUAAAUAUAAAUAUACCUUUCUAGAGCUUAUUUUCACCCGUAAAAUCAUUUCACCAGUUUCUCCGCACGAUAAUCGAGAGAAACCGAGCGGUGUUCUUCGUGUUCUUCAUAAUCAAACGUGGAUUUGAAGGCGUUAUUGGAGUCAGAAUCAAGCGUGCGAAUAGUCAAAUCGAAGAUAUCGAAGAGUAGAAUCUAUAUCUGCAAUCAAAAACAACCUGAGAUUCACAGGAUUUGGAGGAGACGUGUACGUUCGAAGACGUCAGAAAGUCAGAAUGGUAUUGCAAAGCGAAUAAGGGAUGAAUCGAGUAAGCGAAGCGAUGUGGCGAAUAGAGUAUAGCUAGAGAUGGUCUAGAGAUUAUGAGAUGCAUAGAUUGUGAAAGUGGAAAGAUGAGAAUGAGCUGUGAGACGGGAGUCAGAUUUAAGAAAGGCUGAAAGAUGAGAUGAUUGAUUGAGAUUGUGGAUAAGGCUAAUGCUAGGCGAGGAGACAGAGUUGAGGAUCCAGUGGUCAGGGAGUGGUGAGGAAAGUUGAUGAGGUUGGUGCAAGCUGGAAUAGUUGACAGUGAUUCUUCUUAUCGAAGAUGAUCUGACUUGGUAAGAAAUAUUGUAUAGUAUUAGUGGUGGAUUCUAAUUUCAAUACUGUAACCUGGAAGCGAUCCUGAUGUUUUUGGGGGUUAAAAUGUUCUCUUUCAAAUCACUUAUUAUGGCUUUCAAGUUUGAAAUUCAGGUUUUGAAAUCAUUUGAUUUAUGUUCUCUUUCAAAUAUUUCAAGUUUUAAAUCAUUUGGAUUUCCAUUAAAAAAAAAAAAUAAAAAUAAAAAAAAAAAAAAAAUACAGGUUUCCAAAAGUGUUUAAAUAUGGGUUUUAUGUGGUGACGUCAGAAUCCAGACCCCCGGAUUCUCGGACUGUCACAGUUGGUAUCAGAGCAACAGGUUACAAGUUAUUGAAAUUUGAAUAUAGAUUAUAGUCUUAAGUUUUCUAGAGGAGAAUGUUGUGUGACCUCACAUAGAGGUAUUGUAAGACUAUUUAGAAAUAGUCUAGAGAUGUGAUGGAGGCAUAGAGUCUGGUUAGAUGAUUAAGUUGAGUGCAUAAGUUUAGAGAGAUUUUGAUUCCUAAGUUAGACAUAUGAUUUUUAGUAUGUUGAAUAAUUGAGAUAAUGAAUUGUGAGAAAGGUCAGUAUUAGACCUAUAUAGAAGAGUUUGAUAGUGAAUGAUUGAGUUGAGAAUGGUGAAAAUGCAGAGUUCAGAGUAUUCUGACUAUACUGCAUAUUUGAAAUUGGAUUAUUGUAUUGAUUUGAGGAUGAUAUAAAUGCAUGGUUCAUAGUAUGUUGACCAUGUCAGAUAUUUGGAAGAUGUAUAUUGUUUUGAGUGAAGAUAUGAAGAGUAAGUAUAGAAUAUGAGUUGUAUUGGAUUAGAAGGAGAGAUUGGUAGAUAGAGGUUGACAGGUGAGAAGUGAAUGAUAGAGAGUACAUGGAAUUGAGUCCAGUUAUUAGAGAUGAUGUCUACGAAUAAGUUAGAACGUUAGUUCUCGACGACAACGCUUCGAGCUAAUCGGGAUUUCAAAUGGCAUCAAGGUGGGUCCAUAACCCACAGGUUGAUGAUCCAGACAAUCGAAGAUACGUUACGUGUUUGUGCUAUGAAUUUCAAAGGCAAUUGGAUGAAGCAUGAGAACGUGAACUACUUGGGCCAGACUUAUUACGGACGAUAACGUCUACAAUGACAUCUUACGAAGCCAUUGCGAGUCAAAUCGAUUGAUCAUCAAGAACGUUGAAAAGAAGACAUAUAUCGUACAAUGAUUUAUAGAAGUAGAGUCGGAAUCUGAGAAGACCUUGGCAAUACCUCUCUUCAACUAAAGAUUCUUUUGAUGGUUUUCUAAUCAGUAAGAUAUUAUCAUGAUAUCUUUUCUACAAAAGUUUUGAUAAAUGAGAUCUUCAAUUUCUCAAAUUCUAAGAUGACAUUGAUAUUGAUUAUUGGUAUGAGUUGGAAAGUAAAGAUGUGUGAUGAAGGUUUGUUGUGAAGAGAUAGUGAUGUUCCUUGAUAUUGUUUGACAUUUCUUGACAUUCCUUGAUACCCUUUCAUCUGCCUUGAUAUCCCUUAGUGUUCUUUGAUAUUGUUGAUAUUCCUUGAUAUUCUCUGAUAUUCCUUAACAUUUCUUCAAUUUGAUUGGGAUGAACAACCCUAUUUAUAGGGGACACAAGGUAUACCUGUCUGUGUGAUAGGAGUUGGAUGGGACGCCAUCACUUGUGUGUGUUGUGAUUACAAGAAGGUUAACAACCUUUAGUAGUGUCUAAUGUGGACACGCAACACCAAGUUCAUUGAUCAUAUAGAUCUCUCAGUCACUCCUUUAUUCAAAUAUGAUCUACCUUGAAAACAUCUUGUUCUGUUCGAAAUUCCCAAAGAUUGAUUCUUGGGAAAUGAAGUUUGCAAUUGUGAAGGCUUUGAUUCUCCUAUUUCUUUAACUUUGAAGGUAUGCCAAGGUUGAUUAAGGGCAGAUGAGCAUCUGAUAUUAUGAAGCGUGUACAAUGAUUUUACAAAUGAUACAUUUUAAUUUUCUUCGCGGAUUCCGAGGGCGGAAUCCUUAUAAGGGGGGUAGAAUGUAAUAUCCCAUAUUAUUAAAUUUAGAUUUGAUUAUUAUAAAUCUAUUCGUCUAAAUAUUGUUGUUGGCUUUAAUUGAAAAGUGAAUUGAUUAUGUGAAUAGUUUUAUAUGAUUAUACUUGUUCUGUGGAUUAAUAUGGAUUAUACUAAUUAUGUGUCCUCCUUCUUUCUCGGAUUCCGAGGACGGAAUCCCUAUAAGGAGGGUAGAUUGUAAUAACCCGGAUUUUAAAAAUAUUUUUAUUAAUAUUAUAAAGGAUUUUCUUAAAAAGAAAGGAAUAAGAUUUAAUAUUUUAUUCCAGUUUAAUGAAUUUUCAAAGGUUUAUAUUUAAACCCCGGGUUAUUGUGUUAUUGAUAAAUAAUUGUAUUUUCAAAACGGAUUUUCAUAUAUUAUUUUGAAAAUUCUGUAUGAAUAUUAUGCGAAUAUAUGUGUUAUGUGAUUAGGUGGUAUUGGUGGAUUUGUUGAUUAAUUAACUAUGGUUAAUUAUGAGUAUUAUAUGAUUAGUAUAUGAAUUUUUGUGAAUUUUAUAUUAUCUGGUUUAUUGCGUUAACUGCUCAUAUGUGUUCGUAUUUGAGAGAUUUCAAUUUCUAUAUGCUCAGGAGAAAAUAUAGUUUAUUUGGAUAUUUUCAUAUCGAUUUAUGGAAUGUUAGAUGAUUUUAUAAUUGAUUUACAGAUUUAAUUGUGCAUAUUUAUAUUUAAUUAUUAAUUAUUUGACUUCCGUAAAACCGUCCACUCGUAACGAGGUGGCAAAUUUUCUUCCCGGAAGUUUCGAGAAAACUCACCUUUAGCCUAAUUUGAAUAUUCCGGACAUUUUUCGUGUUUUGACUUUUUCGAUCCGGAGUACGGUUUUCCCUGGAGUCGGUCCGGCGGAGUUUUUCGGGUACUAAAAUUGUCGAUAAUUAUCCAGUUUGUCUCGAUAAACGUGAACCGAGAUAUUUUCUUCAUCCUUAUCUUGUAAUAAUUGCAAUGGGACCCGCAGACCAAUAAUUGAGUUAAAAAGCCCCGUUUUGAUGAUUAUCUUGAAAACUAGUACCGAUUGGACCCCACUUUCUUAAUAUAAAGCUAUUAAAUACGUAUUUUCAUGCCAUAAACGAUCCAAAGGGGUACCAAUUAUUUGUAAAUAUAAAUAUACCUUUCUAGAGCUUAUUUUCACCCGUAAAAUCAUUUCACCAGUUUCUCCGCACGAUAAUCGAGAGAAACCGAGCGGUGUUCUUCGUGUUCUUCAUAAUCAAACGUGGAUUUGAAGGCGUUAUUGGAGUCAGAAUCAAGCGUGCGAAUAGUCAAAUCGAAGAUAUCGAAGAGUAGAAUCUAUAUCUGCAAUCAAAAACAACCUGAGAUUCACAGGAUUUGGAGGAGACGUGUACGUUCGAAGACGUCAGAAAGUCAGAAUGGUAUUGCAAAGCGAAUAAGGGAUGAAUCGAGUAAGCGAAGCGAUGUGGCGAAUAGAGUAUAGCUAGAGAUGGUCUAGAGAUUAUGAGAUGCAUAGAUUGUGAAAGUGGAAAGAUGAGAAUGAGCUGUGAGACGGGAGUCAGAUUUAAGAAAGGCUGAAAGAUGAGAUGAUUGAUUGAGAUUGUGGAUAAGGCUAAUGCUAGGCGAGGAGACAGAGUUGAGGAUCCAGUGGUCAGGGAGUGGUGAGGAAAGUUGAUGAGGUUGGUGCAAGCUGGAAUAGUUGACAGUGAUUCUUCUUAUCGAAGAUGAUCUGACUUGGUAAGAAAUAUUGUAUAGUAUUAGUGGUGGAUUCUAAUUUCAAUACUGUAACCUGGAAGCGAUCCUGAUGUUUUUGGGGGUUAAAAUGUUCUCUUUCAAAUCACUUAUUAUGGCUUUCAAGUUUGAAAUUCAGGUUUUGAAAUCAUUUGAUUUAUGUUCUCUUUCAAAUAUUUCAAGUUUUAAAUCAUUUGGAUUUCCAUUAAAAAAAAAAUAAAAAUAAAAAAAAAAAAAAAUACAGGUUUCCAAAAGUGUUUAAAUAUGGGUUUUAUGUGGUGACGUCAGAAUCCAGACCCCCGGAUUCUCGGACUGUCACAAACACCUUUGUCCAAAAUCCCGAUG